AGUGAACGCUGGCGGUAGGCCUAACACAUGCAAGUCGAACGGCAGCACAGUAAGAGCUUGCUCUUACGGGUGGCGAGUGGCGGACGGGUGAGGAAUACAUCGGAAUCUACUUUUUCGUGGGGGAUAACGUAGGGAAACUUACGCUAAUACCGCAUACGACCUACGGGUGAAAGCAGGGGAUCUUCGGACCUUGCGCGAUUGAAUGAGCCGAUGUCGGAUUAGCUAGUUGGCGGGGUAAAGGCCCACCAAGGCGACGAUCCGUAGCUGGUCUGAGAGGAUGAUCAGCCACACUGGAACUGAGACACGGUCCAGACUCCUACGGGAGGCAGCAGUGGGGAAUAUUGGACAAUGGGCGCAAGACUGAUCCAGCCAUACAGCGUGGGUGAAGAAGGCCUUCGGGUUGUAAAGCCCUUUUGUUGGGAAAGAAAAGCAGCAGGUUAAUACCCCGCUGUUCUGACGGUACCCAAAGAAUAAGCACCGGCUAACUUCGUG
rnacentral:rRNA from 1 species